GAUGAACGCUAGCGGCAGGCUUAACACAUGCAAGUCGAACGGCAGCACAGGUAGCAAUACUGGGUGGCGAGUGGCGCACGGGUGCGUAACGCGUAUGCAACCUACCUCUAUCUGGGAGAUAGCCCGAAGAAAUUCGGAUUAAUACCCCAUAAUAUAUGUCUUUCGCAUGUUAGACAUAUUAAAGCUUUGGCGGAUAGAGAUGGGCAUGCGUGACAUUAGCUAGUUGGUAAGGUAACGGCUUACCAAGGCUACGAUGUCUAGGGGGUCUGAGAGGAUUAUCCCCCACACUGGUACUGAGACACGGACCAGACUCCUACGGGAGGCAGCAGUGAGGAAUAUUGGACAAUGGGCGAAAGCCUGAUCCAGCCAUGCCGCGUGCAGGAAGACGGCCCUAUGGGUUGUAAACUGCUUUUAUAUGGGAAUAAACCUCCGAACGUGUUCGGAGCUGAAGGUACCAUACGAAU
rnacentral:rRNA from 1 species